CAGCUGUGAUGGAACUGACGCAAUUCACACCUGCAAAGAUCCAGCUGGGUGUAAUUGUCCCAUGUGCUUUAUAGGCAGGCUGUUCUACCCUCACUGCUGGCUGGGUGGGCAAGGAGGUGCUUGAAGAAGUGCUGGUUGGACUGAUGCACAGUUGGUCUUGCUCUUGCUCCUCACAAGGAAGAGCUGUAGCUGAUCUCUUGGUUUCCAGGUGAAAUGGAGAUGGUUUUUACGAGUUCCCUUUUCUAAAUACAGGAUAUGUUCACCAUGGAAAGAAAAGAACCCAGAAUACCACUGGUGUGCUUUCUGAUCCUGGACGAAUGAAGAUCUGAACCCACACUGCUUCUGGAUGUCAGACCUUCUGUUAGAGAGCAUUCUUCUCUUUAUUUUCUUCUCUAUCAUCCAGCGAAUGUUUUCUUAUUUGUUCAGAGCAGCUCUCAGAGAGGGGAACAGCCAUGAUUUGUAUUACUGUACUGGUGGUUGAGAGGCUCUGAUUUGGACUGCAUCAAGAACAAUAUUUGCAUGUCCAUGCCCAGCUAACUAGCCUGCUGUCCGCUCUUGGUAUGAAAUUUAUUGUAUGUUAAGAGCAGCAGAUUCUUCCCAGACAGAAGAAGGGUCCUAAUACUUUUCUGUGCCAGCAGCAUGUGUAGGAGUCAGGUGUUGGUGUGUCUUUAAGGAUCCAGCCUCAAGUCCAGGGAGAUCCUGGAGCUGAGAUGAGACCCAGGAUAGGCUGUAGCAAAGAAAACCAUCUCCUGGUGGUGUAACAUCUUUCUGGGUGCCAGUUUCUGGCAUGAUCCUGUGAUCUUUCUCCUUGAUUUCUUUUCCACAUCCUUGAUAACACACAGCAUCACAUCCACACAUCACUGUCUGCACAUCACCCAGGGCAGACAAAACAGAGCAGCUCCUGCCUGUAGUGUGACAAGGAAGCUUUGAUCACUCGGACAAAAUCAGGGUUAAAAUGGAGCCCAAAGCGCACCCUCCUCCAUUGUGCUGGGGUGCUGUUUCCACCGGAGCCAUGCCUACCUUGUAUUGACGUUGUUCCUUCAGCUGCUGGGUUUGAUCACUGUAUGCUGCCACUUGUCUGUUGAUAACAGGGCAUCCUGCAGCCAGCAGAUGUGAAGGGACAGUCACUGG